GGAAGUUAAGAAACUGUUUAUUAACUUUUAACUAAAAAAACUAAGAACCGGUUCUUAACGGUUCUUAAAUAAGGACUUUAAGAACCGGUUCUUAAUUUUUUUAGUUAAAAGUUAAGAAAUAGUUUAUUAACUUCC
rfam:Brassica napus, WGS project CCCW01000000 data, contig: 17014